ensembl:lncRNA
AUGCAAAAUAUUCAGGAAUACUUUCCAUGUAGUUAUGAAAAUAGACUAGGAAAAUUAUCACAUUCUCAGGACUGGGUUACAUUUUUAUAUCUUAUCAUAGAGCAGUUAAUUUCUGGCUAUUUCUUGCAGGACCUAACCCCAGCUGCUGGCUCCUUCCAGAGGCAGGACUUUGCACACAAAUGGCACAGACAGCAGUGCCCUCUCUCCCAUCAGCAGUGGACUUGUGGCACUGAGAUGUCCAAGGAUCACACCGAGAGAAUUCCUGCUGAGCUCCUGCUGUGGAAGAGCUGGCACAGACAGGAAGAAAAGCUGCUUUUAAGAUUUUCCACUGAAUUUUUUUUAUUAGCACUCACAAAACAAAGGAGAGAAGAGAGCAGAAGAUCCUAUGGCUCUUUAAUUGCACCUUUUCUUCUGUAUCCUUCAUGA